UAGGGAAUCUUCGGCAAUGGACGAAAGUCUGACCGAGCACCGCCGCGUGAGUGAAGAAGGUUUUCGGAUCGUAAAACUCUGUUGUUAGAGAAGAACAAGGACGUUAGUAACUGAACGUCCCCUGACGGUAUCUAACCAGAAAGCCACGGCUAACUACGUGCCAGCAGCCGCGGUAAUACGUAGGUGGCAAGCGUUGUCCGGAUUUAUUGGGCGUAAAGCGAGCGCAGGCGGUUUCUUAAGUCUGAUGUGAAAGCCCCCGGCUCAACCGGGGAGGGUCAUUGGAAACUGGGAGACUUGAGUGCAGAAGAGGAGAGUGGAAUUCCAUGUGUAGCGGUGAAAUGCGUAGAUAUAUGGAGGAACACCAGUGGCGAAGGCGGCUCUCUGGUCUGUAACUGACGCUGAGGCUCGAAAGCGUGGGGAGCAAACAAG
rnacentral:rRNA from 1 species